GACGAACGCUGGCGGCGUGCCUAAUACAUGCAAGUCGAACGAACCGCGACUAAGUGCUUGCACUAAGUCAAGGUGAGUGGCGGACGGGUGAGUAACACGUGGGUAACCUACCUCAUAGUGGGGGAUAACAGUCGGAAACGACUGCUAAUACCGCAUAGGACAUAGGAUCACAUGAUCCAGUGAGGAAAGGUGGCGCAAGCUAUCGCUAAGAGAUGGACCCGCGGUGCAUUAGCUAGUUGGUAGGGUAAAGGCCUACCAAGGCGAUGAUGCAUAGCCGACCUGAGAGGGUGAUCGGCCACAUUGGGACUGAGACACGGCCCAAACUCCUACGGGAGGCAGCAGUAGGGAAUCUUCCGCAAUGGACGCAAGUCUGACGGAGCAACGCCGCGUGAGUGAAGAAGGUCUUCGGAUCGUAAAGCUCUGUUGUUAGAGAAGAACAGCGCAUAGAGUAACUGCUAUGCGUGUGACGGUAUCUAACCAGAAAGCCACGGCUAACUACGUG
rnacentral:rRNA from 1 species